AGAAGGUCCUUGUCCUGCAACUUUUAUGCGUGUUGGGAUCUUCUCAUGUGAUAAAGGAUGACUCAUAAAAGAAUAACCAGGUGCAUGAAAACCAGCAAUCGCCCUGCAGCACCGGUGGACCUACCCCUAUUCCCUUCCUGAAGUGCCUCUGGUCUCUAUUCUGUUGCAAGCUGUAAACUCCAUGACACAAGUCCUGCAUGCACAGUGACAGAGCAGCGUUUGGAGGCAAAGCAGCUGAACCAGAUGGAUAGAAGUGACAGAACACUACCAACAAUACAAUAUGGCAUCACAAAGUUGGGUUACCAUGGUUUCUACAGAUAAAGUGGCAAGGAAGACAACGUGCAGGUAUUUGCUAUGGCCAAGUCUGCUUUAUCAUCAGUACAUUUUUUAAUUCUCUUUGGAUGAAGUCCUUGUUCCAAUCAAGCCAACUUUAUUACCUCAAGGUUGGAUGGUAGCCAAGUGCUCUACAUGGAUCUAUAUCUUAAGACUUCUCUGAAAUGCUAGUGCUCUGUCUCAUUUCUGGGUGGAAUUGGCUCUGAUUUACAAAGUCCUACAUGACUUGGAGCCUUGUUGGAAGAAUGACUUCCUUUCUCCCUGUAGGAUACCGUCACUACUGCAAUCUGUGCAGCUGGUUGGUGGCAAGGCAUUUUCCUUAUCUCCUGAGAGACAUCUGCCUUUGGUCUGAGAGAACCCAGAACUGCUAAGAACUGGAGCCAUGACAUCUUCUCAGGGUGUACAAAAUAGCAGACCACAGUGUUACUCUCUAUCUCAACGAAAGAUAGAUUUAUUGGUGCUAAUAUGCAUGUCAGCCCCCUGACACUCAUCCUCAGUUGGCCAUCCAGGCAAAGUCAACAGGGUUGACCCCUUCUUUUAACACUUGCUGUAUCCCAGUGCUCUAUCCCCUCAGAAACAUCUCCCUGAAGUUCCCAUCCGCUGUCAUAGACACUCACAGUAAUUACCAGGCUUACUACUCCCAAGGGAACAGUAUACACAACUACAGAUUGAACCUCUCGGGAACUGACUAGUGCUGAACCAGAGAAUUUGCUGGA